GUGUCGUGAUUAUGUUAAUUAACAAAUUUGAAGAACCAAACUUUAUAUAAUAAGACAGUAAAUGUAAAACAUAAAAAGAAAUAAAAAGAAUAGUUGUUCCCUUCUCAAAUUUGACAAAGAAUAGUUGCGUCAUUUAUUUCUCUACCAAAAAAAAAUGAGAAAAUGAGAAGGAAACAAUAUUUUUUUUGUAACUGGUAAUUUUUUUAAAGAAUGAUAAAUAAUUAAAUAUUCUUUCUCGUUCCUUCAUCACUAUUAAAAAUCUAUGUGUUGAUGUUUAUGAAAUCUAAUUUCCCCCAUUGAUUACUGUUUCUCUAAUCACUAGACAAUUUCUAUAAUAAAGAUAGCAACAAGUUCCAUAGAGGUAUGACUAGGUAUGACUAUGAGUUUUGUAGAUUCAUUUGUAUGGAUAUUGAAUUGUAUGAGCUAAUGAGCAUAGUUUUAUACUCCUCCCAUGCCAAAGGUAUGUAAUCCCAUGAACACCAAUCACCAUCCUUCUUUGCAAUUGUUUCUUGUUUUUUUCCAAAAAUAAAAACUAUAUAAUAAAAUAUCUAACACUUGAGUUCUCAUUGGAUCUUCAACGUUGAUCUGGCAGAUACUUUCUGUAAGAUAAUGUUAUCCACACAUCUUAAGUGAUCUUUGUGGGGACCCUCUUCUCCCGUCCGAAUAUCACCUCCUCUACUCCUUCACAAGUACAUAUAUACGCUCACACUCUCUCACAAAGUAGCCACUUCGGUACAACCGAUCUUGCUCACUCUAUGUUUGUCCAAACAUGGCGCUUCAAGCUGCUUGUUUGGUCUCCUCGGCUUUCUCUGUCCGUAAAGAUGGAACACUCGGGUCUCUUUGGUGCCUACAUUACUGACCGAGUCAAAUCCGAACAAAGCUCUUCCUCAUUAAGGUUCAAGAGAGAACAUAGCUUGAGAACACUAGCAUUUCGAGCACAAACAGCAGCUACUUCAAGCCCCUCGCUGUCACAAAGGAUUCAAGAUACUUCCAGAUUUAACAAUAUCUUUCUUUAGUCUAAGACAUGCAUUUUCUGUAUCAAUGUGAUCUAAUUAGAUAAAGACAAAAAUGUACUUUAGUUGACAUAUUGAACAUGUAUUAUAAAUGUUUUAAUUAAAAAAACAGCAUAGAAGAAGGAGAUGUAACUAAUGUGUAAUACUCUACCAAGAAUAUCUUUACGUC